CAUUCACGGAGAGUUUGAUCCUGGCUCAGGACGAACGCUGGCGGCGUGCUUAACACAUGCAAGUCGAACGAUGAACCACUUCGGUGGGGAUUAGUGGCGAACGGGUGAGUAACACGUGGGCAAUCUGCCCUUCACUCUGGGACAAGCCCUGGAAACGGGGUCUAAUACCGGAUACGAGUCUCCAAGGCAUCUUGGAGGCUGGAAAGCUCCGGCGGUGAAGGAUGAGCCCGCGGCCUAUCAGCUUGUUGGUGAGGUAAUGGCUCACCAAGGCGACGACGGGUAGCCGGCCUGAGAGGGCGACCGGCCACACUGGGACUGAGACACGGCCCAGACUCCUACGGGAGGCAGCAGUGGGGAAUAUUGCACAAUGGGCGAAAGCCUGAUGCAGCGACGCCGCGUGAGGGAUGACGGCCUUCGGGUUGUAAACCUCU
rnacentral:rRNA from 1 species